UGGGGAAUAUUGGACAAUGGGGGCAACCCUGAUCCAGCAAUGCCGCGUGUGUGAAGAAGGUCUUCGGAUUGUAAAGCACUCUCGACGGGGACGAUGAUGACGGUACCCGUAGAAGAAGCCCCGGCUAACUUCGUGCCAGCAGCCGCGGUAAUACGAAGGGGGCUAGCGUUGCUCGGAAUGACUGGGCGUAAAGGGCGUGUAGGCGGUUUACACAGUCAGAUGUGAAAUCCCCGGGCUUAACCUGGGAGCUGCAUUUGAUACGUGUAGACUAGAGUGUGAGAGAGGGUUGUGGAAUUCCCAGUGUAGAGGUGAAAUUCGUAGAUAUUGGGAAGAACACCGGUGGCGAAGGCGGCAACCUGGCUCAUGACUGACGCUGAGGCGCGAAAGCGUGGGGAGCAAACAGGAUUAGAUACCCUGGUAGUCCACGCCUGUAAACGAUGUGUGCUAGAUGUUGGGUAACUUUGUUAUUCAGUGUCGCAGUUAAC
rnacentral:rRNA from 1 species